AUUGAACGCUGGCGGCAUGCCUUACACAUGCAAGUCGAACGGCAGCACGGGGGCAACCCUGGUGGCGAGUGGCGAACGGGUGAGUAAUGCAUCGGAACGUGUCCUGUUGUGGGGGAUAACCAGUCGAAAGACUGGCUAAUACCGCAUGAGAUCGAGAGAUGAAAGCGGGGGACCGCAAGGCCUCGCGCGAUAGGAGCGGCCGAUGCCGGAUUAGCUAGUUGGUGGGGUAAGAGCCCACCAAGGCGACGAUCCUUAGCUGGUUUGAGAGAACGACCAGCCACACUGGGACUGAGACACGGCCCAGACUCCUACGGGAGGCAG
rnacentral:rRNA from 1 species